GACGAACGCUGGCGGCGUGCUUAACACAUGCAAGUCGAACGGAAAGGCCCUGCUUUUGUGGGGUGCUCGAGUGGCGAACGGGUGAGUAACACGUGAGUAACCUGCCCUUGACUUUGGGAUAACUUCAGGAAACUGGGGCUAAUACCGGAUAGGAGCUCCUGCUGCAUGUUGGGGGUUGGAAAGUUUCGGCGGUUGGGGAUGGACUCGCGGCUUAUCAGCUUGUUGGUGGGGUAGUGGCUUACCAAGGCUUUGACGGGUAGCCGGCCUGAGAGGGUGACCGGCCACAUUGGGACUGAGAUACGGCCCAGACUCCUACGGGAGGCAGCAGUGGGGAAUAUUGCACAAUGGGCGGAAGCCUGAUGCAGCAACGCCGCGUGCGGGAUGACGGCCUUCGGGUUGUAAGCCGCUUUCGCCUGUGACGAAGCGUGAGUGACGGUAAUGGGUAAAGAAGCACCGGCUAACUACGUG
rnacentral:rRNA from 1 species